rnacentral:rRNA from 1 species
UACGGAAGGUGCAAGCGUUAUCCGGAAUCACUGGGUUUAAAGGGUGCGUAGGCGGGCUAAUAAGUCAGAGGUGAAAGCUCAUCGCUUAACGAUGGAAUUGCCUUUGAUACUGUUAGUCUUGAAUCAGGUUGAGGUUGGCGGAAUGAGUCAUGUAGCGGUGAAAUGCAUAGAUAUGACUUAGAACACCGAUUGCGAAGGCAGCUGGCUAGACCUGCAUUGACGCUGAGGCACGAAAGCGUGGGGAGCGAACAGG